rnacentral:rRNA from 1 species
GACGAACGCUGGCGGCGUGCCUAAUACAUGCAAGUCGAACGCAUUUUCUUUCACCUUGUCUUGCUACACCGAGAGAAAGUCGGUUGCGUACCGGGUAGUAACUCUUCCUUAACCUGCCCAUCAGCGUGGGAUAACACUUGCUAACACGUCCUAAUACCUCAUAAUUCCAUUUACCGCAUUGUAAAUUGCUAUAGCGCCCUUUUGCGUCACUCACGCAUUGUCCCGCGGUGCAUGAGCUAGUUGGGGGGGUAAAGGCCUACCAAGGCAGCGAUCCAUAGCCGAACUGAGAGGGUGAUCGGCCACACUGGGACUGAGACACGGCCCAGACUCCUACGGGAGGCAGCAGUAGGGAAUCUUCGGCAAUGGACGAAAGUCUGACCGAGCAACGCCGCGUGAGUGAAGAAGGUUUUCGGAUUGUAAAACUCUGUUGUUAGAGAAGAACAAGGAUGAGAGUGGAAAGCUCAUCAAGUGACGGUAACUAACCAGAAAGCGACGGCUAACUACGUG